CCUACGGGAGGCAGCAGUAGGGAAUAUUGCUCAAUGGGGGAAACCCUGAAGCAGCAACGCCGCGUGGAGGAUGAAGGUUUUCGGAUUGUAAACUUCUUUUGUUAGAGAAGAUAAUGACGGUAUCUAACGAAUAAGCACCGGCUAACUCCGUGCCAGCAGCCGCGGUAAUAAGGAGGGUGCAAGCGUUACUCGGAAUCAAUGGGCGGAAAGAGCGCGUAGGCGGGUUAGCAAGUCAGAUGUGAAAUCCUAUGGGUUAACCAUAAAUCUGCAUUUGAAACUGUUAUUCUAGAGUAUAGGAGAGGUAGGUGGAAUUCUUGGUGUAGAGGUAAAAUGCGUAGAGA
rnacentral:rRNA from 1 species